GCCGGCGCCGAGGGCCGGGGGCGGGGGCGCUGCCCUCCCCUCCCCACUCGCCCCGCCCCCCGGCCCGCCCCCGGGAAGCCCAGCAACAAGCGGCCGCGCCCCCGCCCCGGGGCGGGCAGGUUUCGACUUGAAUCUGAAAAUGCCUCUAAUGCCCAUUUUUCACUAAAGGACACUCGGAGGGGGCAGGGUCUUCACAUAAACUGCUGCGUGCGCCCCUAGCUGGACAGACUGCAUAAAAAGCGUGCCCACAUUUACUUCACACAUCUGUGCAAAUGCAGGAGCCUGUGGAUGCGAAAGGCUGACUGGUCGUACUUAAGCGUGUAGACACACGAACGCAUGCACACGCACGCGCGCGCGUUCACACACACACCCCAAAUUACCUCCGGGAUAGCGAAAGCCGCUGCGGAUUGGCCAGCAGAGCCGUCACUCACACCCAGGGGGCAGGAAGACUUUGGAAAGCAGUUUCUUUUUUCUCUAUCCUCCUAUGCCUUUUCAUAUAGUGGUAAAACAACGGCAGAGCUCUGAAAGUUAGCCAUCUACGCCGAAAGAGUUUGCUUCUUAAGGGAGGGAGCGUCAGACAAGGCCCCUUUAAAUAUAUAUUGUACUUCCACAAUGGACGAAAAAGAAAAUUAGUUGGGUGAGGGAGCUACGAGUAGGGAGGAGGGGGAUCAUCGGGGAGGGGUGGACACCGGGUAGAGUUGUUCUUAACACUCAAAAGAGACUUUGACCUCAAGUGAUUUCGAAAUCAGAAAGUGUUUAUCACAGGUCAGAUCAUAACAAACGCUCGUCCCUAAUUUUUGAACUCAUUAUUUUCAUUUUAUUAUUUAAGCAUGCCCUAACAAUCAUGCUUCUUUAAGAAAGAACUGACCUAUUUUUGGCUGGAGAUAAACGACCAUGUUAACAGA